rnacentral:rRNA from 1 species
AUUGAACGCUGGCGGCAGGCCUAACACAUGCAAGUCGAGCGAGCGGCGGACGGGUGAGUAAUGUCUGGGAACCUGCCUGAUGGAGGGGGAUAACUACUGGAAACGGUAGCUAAUACCGCAUACCAUCAGAUGUGCCCAGAUGGGAUUAGCUAGUAGGUGGGGUAAUGGCUCACCUAGGCGACGCUCCCUAGCUGGUCUGAGAGGAUGACCGGCCGCACGGGAGCUGAGACACGGUCCAGACGCCUACGGGAGGCAGCAGUGGGGAAUAUGGGACAAUGGGCGAGAGCCUGAGGCAGCCAUGACGCGUGUGUGAAGAAGGCCGUGGGGUUGUAAAGCACUGUAAGGGGGGAGGCGGUACCCGCAGAAGAAGCACCGGCUAACUCCGUGCCAGCAGCCGCGGUAAUAC